UACGAACCGUACAAACGUUAUUCGGAAUCACUGGGCUUAAAGGGUGCGUAGGCGGCCAUGUAAGUGGGGUGUGAAAUCCCUCGGCUCAACCGAGGAACUGCGCUCCAUACUGCAUGGCUUGAGGGAGACAGGGGUAAGCGGAACUGAUGGUGGAGCGGUGAAAUGCGUUGAUAUCAUCAGGAACACCGGUGGCGAAAGCGGCUUACUGGGUCUCUUCUGACGCUGAGGUACGAAAGCGUGGGGAGCAGACAGG
rnacentral:rRNA from 1 species